GCUUGCUCCCUGAUGUUAGCGGCGGACGGGUGAGUAACACGUGGGUAACCUGCCUGUAAGACUGGGAUAACUCCGGGAAACCGGGGCUAAUACCGGAUGGUUGUCUGAACCGCAUGGUUCAGACAUAAAAGGUGGCUUCGGCUACCACUUACAGAUGGACCCGCGGCGCAUUAGCUAGUUGGUGAGGUAACGGCUCACCAAGGCGACGAUGCGUAGCCGACCUGAGAGGGUGAUCGGCCACACUGGGACUGAGACACGGCCCAGACUCCUACGGGAGGCAGCAGUAGGGAAUCUUCCGCAAUGGACGAAAGUCUGACGGAGCAACGCCGCGUGAGUGAUGAAGGUUUUCGGAUCGUAAAGCUCUGUUGUUAGGGAAGAACAAGUGCCGUUCAAAUAGGGCGGCACCUUGACGGUACCUAACCAGAAAGCCACGGCUAACUACGUGCCAGCAGCCGCGGUAAUACGUAGGUGGCAAGCGUUGUCCGGAAUUAUUGGGCGUAAAGGGCUCGCAGGCGGUUUCUUAAGUCUGAUGUGAAAGCCCCCGGCUCAACCGGGGAGGGUCAUUGGAAACUGGGGAACUUGAGUGCAGAAGAGGAGAGUGGAAUUCCACGUGUAGCGGUGAAAUGCGUAGAGAUGUGGAGGAACACCAGUGGCGAAGGCGACUCUCUGGUCUGUAACUGACGCUGAGGAGCGAAAGCGUGGGGAGCGAACAGGAUUAGAUACCCUGGUAGUCCACGCCGUAAACGAUGAGUGCUAAGUGUUAGGGGGUUUCCGCCCCUUAGUGCUGCAGCU
rnacentral:rRNA from 1 species